GCAGGUUGUGUGACAGGAUCUUCCCUUGAGUAAGGAUGCCUCUCAAGGUUAUGCCUGUGUAGAGAUCCUAUGCAUCCUAACAUCAAGAUGUCUUGCUGAUCAAUACAGGACCUCUGUUUGCUGCUGCUACUAACCUGGGAGGUGCUGUUGACUCUGGAGGAAUGAGAGGCCUUAUAAAGGAAUCUAGAUACACUGGAGCAUUGUGAAGUCAUCAGUGGCAUGAUGUUCAGCAAAGAGACAUUCAAGUGUUUGAAACUCUCUAAUCUAUGAUAUCAUGUCACUGACAGAACAAAUGAAGAAGGAGGUGCCUGUUCUAAGGCUACUGAACAUCAUCUGCAUCACCAAGCAUGGCACAGGAAGUCAGAAAGUGUUUCACUGGUCCUUUACAACCAUUGGACUGCUCUGGUUGCUCAAGCAGAUAAUAAGCUGGCUGUACAUCGGCAAGCCUUGGCAUAGUUUAUUUUCUGUCUGCAGGAAAGGCAUAGUUUAUUUUCUAUCUGCAGGAAAAUCCUAUCUUUCCUACUGAUGUAAAGAGUGUGUCAAAAUGCUGCAGUCAAAUGCAGGUGCUCUGAAAUUUUGUGCCUGUAGAAGACAUAAGGAAAAACUAUGGAUAGAUUUGUGGAGAACACUGAGGUGGAAUACUGUUAUCUUGAAAAUAUGCAGGAUGGAGUUUACUCCACGGGGCUGAUCAGCAGCUGGGCACUGUAAAUGCAGCACGGAACAGGUGGAACAUAGCAGCAGGCUGCCUGGCUUUGCUGUAGAGUACCUCUGGGCAAGCUGACCAAGGUUUUGCUGAUCUGACAGCAUUUCAGAACAUCAUCCAGCUCCAGUGAAGCUAUCUUAAAAUUCGAACAUUUUCAGGCAAAUAAACCUGUGGAUGGGACUAACAGAAGUAAUAUGCUUGAAACAAACAUAAAAAACAUAAAAAGAAAGGUAAUCAAGAAUUUUUUUCCCUUCAGCCAGUGUAUGAGAUAUUUGUAGAUGUAUCAGUUGAACUAUUCAAACAUCUGAUAUAUGUAACUUUUAGGAAAAAUCUGUACAUUUACCCUAGCAUACAGGCAUACAGAAAUUUUAGCAAUCUUGCAGAUAACAGAAGGAAAAAUAACCUGAGGAUUUGGAAUAAUAAGGAGCUUGAUGUUUUGAAAACUGUUGAACACUGUACAUUCUCUCAGCAAUGAUCAGCACAAAGUUAUUUAGCACAGGUGUUUAUGUAAUUGAGAUACAUUAGGAAAACUAGCAGUGCUCAAUGAGCCUCAAACAGGCAUUUAUGCUUUUAUGUUUAAAUACACUUCUGUUAAUUAUAAAGAGUUAUGGUAUGAAAUAAGUACCAUAACAUGCUGUUGUAAGAAGACUUGCUGGAUGGAUUUUUCAAGGCACGUACUUCUUCAUUUCUUAAGCUGCUGUGUUGCUGGAUUUUGUAACAGACAGUGUAGAACACAAAACCACUUCAAGGAUUUUUACACAGUGAGUUUGAGCCAAAACGUUCCUCCUGCUACUGCAGUACUGGCAAAAUUCCCUAACUGCAAAUGUGCAGCUGAAAACAAUACAGAUGUAAAUGAGUGAGAGUUUUCUAAUUCUAAUUCUACAAUUCUUUUAUCACUCAAUUCAGAUGCUUGAUGUUCAUUAAAAACCACAAAAGGGUUGCUAUUUUUUUUCCAUGUGUGUAUUCUUCCUAGAAGUCUUUCAGGAAUUUGGGUACAC